CCUACGGGUGGCUGCAGUGGGGAAUAUUGGGCAAUGGGCGCAAGCCUGACCCAGCAACGCCGCGUGAAGGAAGAAGGCUUUCGGGUUGUAAACUUCUUUUGUCAGGGACGAAGAGAGGGCCGUUCCCCUUGGAUAAACCCCCGCCUAACUACGUGCCACAAGCCGCGGUAAUACGUAGGUGGCAACCGUUUCCCGGAUUUACUGGGUGUAAGGGGCGUGUAGCCGGGGAGACAAUCCAGAUGGGAAACCCACGGGCUCAACCUGUGGCCUGCAUUUGAAACUGUUUUUCUUGAGUGCUGGAGAGGUAAUCGGAAUUCCGUGUGUAGCGGUGAAAUGCGUAGAUAUACGGAGGAACACCAGUGGCGAAGGCGGAUUACUGGACGGUAACUGACGGUGAGGCGCGAAAGCGUGGGGAGCAAACAGGAUUAGAUACCCGAGUAGUC
rnacentral:rRNA from 1 species